AGAAAGAGGUGAUUUUGUCUUUGAGUUGUUUGCCAGUGAAUGGCAUCAAGUGUUCAACCUGGAGGAAUAAUUUUUGAGGCAUAAUGCGCUGUAGAUCUUUCAGGCAGGCUCUCUUUGUUGCCUCUCAUAACAAGGUCACUUUUCUUUAUCGCACCUCGGCAGACAAGAAAAGAGAAAGGAGGCGAGACUGUGAAAGAGAUAAGCAGAUGUAAGAAGACCGUGUGUGGCUUCAGGGAAGCCUCUGGGGAGCAGAAACGGAAAGGAAACCACUCGACGAAAGGUUAAGAGAAGAAGAGCCGUUAAACUGAGCUGCGACUGAAAUAUCUGUUUAACGCAGACGCAUCGCUCACUGAAGCAGACGCCGGUGACGCGCUCCUGACCUCUGAAGACCCUGUGAUUGACAGCUCCGUCAGGAUGAUUUCAGCACCGCUCCUGAUCUUCACAGCGGUGUGUCUGUGCAGCUGGAAAUCAGCCUCCAGUGUUCAAAACCUGUCCUAACCGGAGAUGUGACGUUUGCAGCAAAAGCCACUAAAAGGAGAAACAUCUGAAGCUGAUCCUCUACUGAAGCAUAAUGAAGAACUCCACUAUGUCUGACGACUAUGCAACCAAGCAUUAUAGGGUUUUCCAGCAACAGGGCACGGAUGGUUUUCCAAAGAAUUACGAUGAAAAGGGCUUUAUGGAACUUCAAUGGUAUACAUCCCUUUGUAGUUUUAAUUGGAACUUGAGCAGUAAUCUUUUACAGCAGAAGGCUCGAGUCUGUUCUUCAUAUUCUGGGCCGGUUUGAUCUUCGCCGGUCGCCGUUGUACCAUUUCAUGCAGAAUUAGAUUAACAUUUAACUUCAUGUGCUUGCUUGGACUUCGCUACUGCUUUUUCAGGAGCACCCAUCCACCCACUCACGCAUCAACACGCCCCUCACACGGAUGCCCUUCCGCCAUCCGGAUAUCUGACUGCCACAUGUAAAUUAAGCACUCCCUUUGGAACCUGUUGCCAUAGAAACUCUCAUUAAGAGCCAAGAGACAUGAAACAUUUGCGUGUGCUCAGACUCCUCUGAGGAUGGAUUGGGUCAUUCUGUGCAUCUUAUCAAUAUGGUCAAUAUUAUUGGUACUUUUGAUCUUCCUAAUUACAUCUGACUAUUCAGAAUGUUACCCAAUAUAUAAAUGUGAGUCAGUCACGUUGGGUUGCCAUUUAAGGCACGGCUGGCAAGCCUCAUGCACGUUCUAUUAAAUGGAAAGUCAUAAAGGUCAGAUGAGAUAUAAAGAAAUGAAAAGAGGGGUAAAGAGAAUGGAUUUUGCUUGUUUUGGUGCGUUAGGGAAUUACAUGGUAAAUGUUAGUCUCAAAUGUCAGUGUGACUAAGUUAGUGAACAAAGACAGAGAAAAAUGACUUAUUUUAACAUUUAUUUUGAGCACAAGUGUACAGACGGAUGGCUGAAGGUCUGGAGUCCACGGAAGCUUUCAUUGGCCAAAGCCCACCCAUGAGAGCAUUGACACAGAUAAUGCCAAUGCAGUUUUGCUUGACGGAAAGGGUUGCCAGAUUUUCACAACAAAACUACUUAAAAGUGGCACAAACUAAGUGACUAAGUUCGAAGGGAUAAAACACCAAAGGGACUAAAAUGCAGAUUAUUGGGGUCCCUGCAUCCCGUAAACAUAAAAAACUGAUAAAGUAGCCCAAUUCCACGGUAAAACCUGGGACUCAACGCCGAAGGAUGUCUACAACGGAUACCACAACAGCUCGGGGUGGUCUAAUUUGCCACAAUUUAAGAUGUUUUAUUUGAGUCCACUUGCAAAAUUGCUAUUGUGAAAUGUUAUGUUUACGGCCCCAGGACGCAGCUAUUCUAUUGUGGACAACUUUCUUUUUAUUUCUCAUUAUUUCGCUGUGAACGGUUUGCAAACCAAAAUUCGGUUUGCUUUUAAAGGGAUCUGAGUUGCUUUCAUGUCCUCUGCAAUUUGUGCUAGGAACUCUCACGUUUUGCUUUUCGCAGAUUAAUCCUCCUUUUUCCGAUUAAUUCGCAUUCGCACAGCCGACUGAUCAGAUUGAAGUUGUAAAAGCUGCUUAAUCACUAAAUCAUUUUUCGGCUCGUUCCGCGAAGCUAUGGUGACAUUCACAAGACUUCGAAAUCGGAAUACAGUGCUAACGAACCAGUCAUGCCCUUUUCUAUGAUUGACGGCUUACUUCAUUGCGUGUAGAGCCAGAAUGUACUGUCAAAAAAAACGCUGGACGAUGAAGUUCAAAUGCAUCGUAAAAGUGCUUUUCCCGGGUCAUUUACCGCAGUCCUGUUAACAUACUGUAGCCCAGAAACAAUAAAACUGAUUCUGAACACUCCAUUCAUGCCGUAGAUGUUACAGAGCCACAGAGAAGGGAGGAUGCGCCUUUCAUUUCCUCUGUUGGGAGUAUGAGUCACGCUAACCUCUCUUCCGACUCCCUCGUUCUGUCUUUCACACAGUUGCAAUCAUUUAAUCAAAACGAAUCUAUCUGGGAGCAUAAGGUUGGGCCAUAAACAGAGAUAGCUGGAAGCCACUGCACGUGCUGAUCGCAUUUUGUCUUUAGAUAAAAUCAGAUUUUCCGUGACAUGGUUUAUUAUUCAUGAUCUCCGAUAGGCCAAAAAAACGAUUCCCUAAAUUAUUCACGUACGCACGUGUUGUCAGGAAGUUUUAUCCAUUAUGUAUCGUCGUGCUUUACGUAACCAAACGAAGCGUUGUUCGAGUUCACCGCAGCAACAGUUGGGCCUUCUCUCUUUGUCGAAAGCGGAAUACUUGGCUUGGAAAAACUCUCCUAAUGCCGCGUCCGGCUCGCGUCGGUUGAACCGAGGAAAUUUUUAUUGGAAAAGGGCCACUCAGACGGAACAUGCGAGAACUUUCCACUGCGCUCCCUGGGGCGGAAGACGGGUCGCUGACACUUGUGCAUGCGAUGUCAUUUCGUUAGGACAACAAAGACUGCGUGGAGGAUGAUCACGAGGGACUCUGGUUAUAAUCAUGCAGAUCUGCGUAGAAGCACAUCACGAAAUACAGAAAUCGUCCCUGAACGAACGCCUGUUCUCAAGGGGAAUAAGAGAAUGUUUCAGGAGUGGACGCUUGGAUGAUCUUUAUCUCUACAGUGACGCCAAGAGCCUCUUGUAAUCUUUCCUCAUCUGCAAAAGGGGUCCAGAAUGUCUAAUGGCAUCUGCUUCAGCCCCUCGGGGGCCAGUAUCCAAAAUUAUUUUCUUUGAAGCAUUUCAAUAGCUACGUUUC